CAAAGAGUUACAUUAAAAAUAAAUGAAACCAAAACCCACCACAGAACCCCGAACAUCACAGUAAUCAUACAAAGCCAACUUUUUAAACAGUGAAGUCAUUUCUUCAGUGUUGUCAAAUUCCUCUAUAAAGACUCUUGAAGGCCAGCUUUUAGUGCAACAGAGCUGGGAAAGUGAGAACACCUACAACAAAAUGGAUUAACCACUUGGCGCUAAUACCUUUGUACAGAUGUUUAGUUUGAUGCAGAGGCCCUGAAGCUGAAAAAUAAUCUUCAGAUGAUGCAUUGGAUUUUGCCAGAGGAAGGUUCUGAGCAUUUACAAAAUAAAGUGCACGUAUCCUGAAGGCUUUGUGGACAAGCCAAAUGACUCCUACUGCUAUGUGGAUUGAGAAAUUGAAAUAAAGAACAACCUGCUCCCUUGAGCAAGAGGAUAUGGGAAAAAAAUGGAAAAGCAAAUCAGAGGUACCAACUCCCAGUAACCAACUCAGUGGCACACAGCGUGUUCUUCAUAUUUCCAUACCUGGAAUUUAAUACCACUAUCAGACUGUUUUUGUAUGGCUGAAAGAAAAUUCAUUCUCAUCUGCAAUAUACUACAGUGUUCUGAAGUUUCAUAAAUAACACACCAUAGUCUUUGUAUGGAACUCUCUGUAUAACAAAUCCAAUUUGAUGUAUCAGUGUAUGAAUAAAAGAAAAAUUGUCCUUUAUUACAGUAACCAACUAUACUGCUUCCUUUCCCAGCAGGCAGUAGACAACAAUCAAUAACCUUAAUUGCAUGGCUACUAAAAGCAGAGAUUUCCUAGUGAGUUACAAUCGGAAUCAACUGGAAAAUCUGGAUGAAAACUUACACUGCUCCUCAGUCCUCUAUUUCUUAAUGGUCCAACAGCAGAUCUCAUCUUUCCUUUGCUAUUCUUAACAUCACUCUUCUAUCCCCAUAAUGGAGAUGCUUGGAGGUUUAGCUAUCAAGUUUUCCCAAUUCUGCAACAUGUGCAGCACGAAUACCAAGGUUGUUCUCAUUUAUAAUAUGAUCUUCCACUAAAAAUUGGUCCAGAGCUCUUUAAAAAGUUUCUAAAUCUUCCAGUUGUUGUUAAUAGCAUUUAAAAGGGGCAUAUUGCAUUAGAAUGUAAGGGGUAUAAGAGGAACAGUGUAUUAAUUUUACAGAAAAAUAUAUAAUUAAUAUAUAUCUAAAUAAAGGGUUAUAACUAUAGUUUUAUAUAUAUGAAUACUCUCUGUAUAAAGUAUACAGUAUAGCAUCUAUAUAUAGCUAUAUAUAUAUGAACUCUUCUAUAGUUAUAACCAUUUGUAUGUAUAAAGGAGGGUAUAUAUAUAUAUAUGUGUAUAGAUAUAGGGACUUCAGAUGAUGUAUUGAGUGGAGCUGGAGUGGGAAGAGAAAUUCUUGGUGGAUCUAAACUGUUUAGUUUAUUACCACACUAGUAAGUGUUUUGCAGAGUAUCCAUGAAAUUGGACACGUAGCAGAGGAAAAAAGUCGUUGACUGUUUCCAUUCCUGACCUGAUCAGGAUGCUAAGGAACUGUGAUUCGCUCCAGGUAUGUAUAGUUCAUUUUGAAAAAUUAGAAACUAGAAUCUGUUUAAAGUCAAAUCUGUUUAAAUUCAAGAUAAUAAGGUCUGUCAAGGAUGGUGUAUGAAAAAUGGAGAAAUAUAAAAGCAGUAAACCUCUCACGUCCCUGAUGCAUUGACAGACAUGGGCGUAAUGCUGAAAUGAAAUACAAUUCUACAUCAUAAUAUAGUAUGGCAGCGUAGUUAUUCAAAUUAGGUGCUUAUGUUUAUCAAAUUAGCAGAGGAAAAAAAAAACUUAAAAAAUAUUCCAGCAUACUGUUUUAUGUAUCUUCUGGAAUUUUUUUGAUUGCAGAUUUAAUAUAUGAUUUCGUAUAUGACUCACCUUUUUUGUGAGUCAAAACUGGUGUGCAAAACAGAAUUGAAUUGCUGAUUCUGCAUCAAAUAGACUGACUGUGGUAUUCAAGUUACUAUAAUACAAUUAAAACCAUCAAAGUAAAACCAUGAUAAAAUUGAGCUUGUGAUAAAAAUCAGUUGUCAAACUAGUUACGUGUCUUGGUAUGGAACUGCACAUAAAAUACUUCGGCAAAAGUAUAGUCUGGUGAGUUUAGAUGCAAAAAUUAAGAAAAAAAGGGGAAAAAAGAAAAAGACCAUAAACCAACAAAAAAGCAGUUAUAAGCCAAGUUCCUUACCUGGAUAGAAUUUGACAUAACUCCACUGAAAAUUAUCGUGUGAUUAUACCUUAGAACAAAUGAAGAUCUGAACAUUCUUCUAGUUCUGUUUUCUCUCUGGUUUGUCAGAGAAGCUAUAUAUCAAAACCAGCUAUAUCUAUAUCUUUCAGUACAUGGUAGUCUCUUCUCUCACUUCAAUGUAUGAUACAUUUUUUUUUUAUCCUCACCAUGUUUUUAUUAUGUAGAUAGAUAAUCAGCUUUCACGGUACCAACAGCAAAACUAAGGCAGAAAGAUAUAGCAACAAAUCUCACUCUGAGAAAUAAGAUAUAUAUAGCAUGCUCAAAAUGUAUGGUAAAAUGAACUGCAGGAUCACCUCCCCAGGUAGGUGGCUGGAUCUAAGUGCCAGCUUUGGUAGUCUGAAGUAGAAAAUGUGCCUUAAUUGAGUUUGUUGCUGUAUCUCUUUUGUUGCCGCAUCUCUUUCCCAUGCUAGGCUCAUCUUGUAUAGCUGCUUUUCUGCCCAAAGCAGCUUGGUGAAGAGCAGACCUGCGCUGGUGCUAUAAUUACAAACUCCUGGUGCUGCCUCCUUAUGCCUCAGAGGUUUAACGCAGCUCAUUAGUGGAGGGCCACAAAGAACUCCAUACCAGGUGUAGGAGGAAAACUCAGAAGGUCCUGACUACUCACUCCAAGCUCAGGCUAUGACAGUCAGUUGCAUCCCCAAGCAAAAAGUGUAUUUCUGACUCAUAGUACUCCAUGUGCUUAUAUGGCCUCACUUCUUCCUGCUUUGUCUCUAAGAAACAGAUUUUGCACACAAGAAUACCAAACUCCAAAUCAUUUACAGUCAAAACAAGACCACAGCAUGCUGCUGUGUCUUGUUCUCAGUCCAACUAUUACCUUGUAGUUCAGCAGCUCUAUGAACUCCCACUCUCAAAACGCUUCCAGCCUCCCAGAAGCGGUGUUCAAGUUUAUUCCUGUGACCUUUUUAAAUAAACAUUUGCUGUUCCUAUGAGACCAACGUUUGAACAGUUUAAUGAGCAUUCACAGUUCUACUUUAAAAUGUUUCAGUAGAGCUCACAAAGGGCAAUGAUGUUGCAUUAUUACUUUUUUUUAGUAAACAUGAUACUGUUCAAAGAUGCCAAAAUGACAACAGCCCAAGAGAGCAGAGAGAUGGUUUUCUUCCUACAAUGAAAUGUAUAGUGAGAUUUAUUAUAGAACAAGUCGCUAUUUCCCCAAUGUCCUUUAGUCCAACACAACUAUCUCUAAGAAUGACUAGAGUCUCUUUUUCUAUCCUUAAUUACUCUCAGGGGUUUUAUGCAGAAAUGGGUUUUAAUAUGGACUAUCAAAUUACUGUGAUGGCUCUCAUGCCUCCUAUGCAGACAUCCGUCAAAUUUCAUUGUGGCCCUCUCUUAUAGGAUGUCAGGGGUGCACCAGCCAAAGAGCAAAAUUUUUGUAGUUCCUGACUAGAACAUCUUUAAAACUCAGGGGAAGGUGCCUUGUAUACUUGUUCUCCUUGAAUGCUGCCUUGGAAGAUGCAGCAAGCCAAUGCAAAACCUCUCUAUGGCAGCUCUUUAUUUCUCAAAGGGCUCUCAACUUCUCUUCAUUGAGGACUGGUUUCUUCAGGAUCCAUGCUUGGCUCUCCUCCAGGCUGGGAUUAUUUGUCAGAGGGGUUGUCAUAUACAUUAGAACCACUGUUCUAACUAAACUAUAGUUGUUCAGCCUUCAUUUACUGAAAAAACUGGUGCAAACAUUUCUCCCAUCUGAUCAAAUCUUUGCUUUCAGACUGCAGAGUACCUUCUAUGUCUGCCCUCCAUUCAUGUGAUUUGUCUGCUCUUCAUUCAGUGAUAUGUAACGCAGAAAGUUUUUCCUCCAACCAUGGAAGACCUUCAGGAAAAAUAUAAAGGUACUGCCAUACAGCUGGAGUGUGACCAAUAUCCACAAGUAGAAUAACAUCUUAUGAUAGAUAAUACAGAAAUUAUUUUCUAUGCACUUAAUAUGUUCUCAGGUGUCUGACACAGCUGCAGAAAUUCAGAUGCAGUCUGUCAGUUUUGCAUUCUUUGUGGCCAAAAUAUUGCUUAGGCUGAACCAGGGUUUUAUAGAGAACAUUAUUUUAAUAUAAGAUGAAUUUGCAGUAGUCCUAGGGAGGAGGGGGAAGAGUUCUUUCUUCAUACUCUGUUUUCAUUUUCUUCUUUUUUUUAUGGGACCCGUUUGUGUAGUUGUUUCUUUUUCACCAUACAUCUGCUUCUAGUGCUUAUUCUUUCACCUGAAAUCAUAAUUUUCUGUGACAUCAAGCUGGUUGUUGCAGAGAAAAUUAUGAUGUGACAUUCAUAAAAUUAUGAGUACAUAUGGUAAAAAAAACAAACAAAACAACAGGAGCAGAACUCCAAAGGAAGAAAGGGCCCACUUCCAUGCUUAAAGUAAUAAAAUGAAAGAAAAUUUAAAAUUUUUGGGGCAAACCCUUUCCUAGCAUAAAGCACACUAUAUGUGCAGAUAUUAGGAAAACCUUAAUUACUUGAAUUAACUGAGAGUUUACUAUUACAUUUUUCUAUUUCAUCAUUUUGAUGGUGAAACUUGUAAUGCAAUGCUGCCAUUCAAUUUUAAUAAUACUUGACUUGGCUUUUUAUUUUGUUUGUGUAUGCUUUUAAAUCAGAGGAUUCUGCACUCUCAGUUCUUUGCAGUCCACAACCCCACUGCAGAACACAGAGCAGCAUUCCAUUAAUUUUAUUUUUUCAAGGAAAGUAAUUUCAUGAAAUUACAUUGCACUGACUGUAUUGUUUGCUGCUUUUUUUCUGCAUCUUCUUUGCACUUGUCUACAAGCAACAGGGCAUGGCAACACUGUACUUUGGUAUUAAUGUUUUAUGACUUGAAUGGUCAAAUUGAUUUGGGAUUGCUCGAUUUGUACUGAAGUUCCUUUCCAUUUAUUUAAUUACUUCAGGAAUUAUAUAAAUGCGAUUACCAGAAGUACUUUUUUAAAAAUUUGCUUGUUGAUUAAAAUCAAUGACUAUAGUCUUAAUUUUUUUCUUUAAUGAAGAAAAAACUCAUCCUCAAUUAGCCAUGCCUGCUGCCAAGAGAAAUACAAAUCUUGUAGUUAGUUAUCUCAAAUUGCCAGCACCUAUCAUCGGUUCUAACUCCAGUUCUAACUCCACCUUCAUUGAGGGUGCCGCCUUAAAAAAUGACUGCUAAAAUAGUAAAGAGGUGAACAAUAAGCUUGAAAUGCAAACAGAAAACUGUAUUUUAAUACAAUGUCUUCAAAGACUGAAAAGGUGUAGCAUCAGUCUUCCUGGAUAAAAUUGCUGCCAGCAUAUGUGCUGGGUAGUGACAACUGAAGCAGUGGUGUAUGGGCCCAGAAGCUGCUACCAGACACAGAAGCCUUGUUCAGCUCAGGUACUGGACUGGCAGAUGAAGGACAAAACAGCUACUAAAAUAAACUGUCAGGUGUUCACUAACACUCACACAACUGCUUUAUUUCAACAAAUCACUUUAAAAAAUGUUCCAACUGAAAACCUAGCGAUAUUUUUGGAAGAUUUAUUAUAUGUUAAAUUUUGAGUGCCCUGUAGGGCAUCAGUGCUAACAAGCCUUCCUCUCCCUUGGCAAGUAUCAUGGAAUUUCAGUCAGGAGUUCGGCUGAACAUUUGAAGGGACAGGCGAAUGUGACAGUAUCACAGUGUCCCUCGUGUAAUGCUGUGGCAAUAGCCAGAGGCAAGCCACACUGAAAUUCUCAAUUGAUUUCCAAAAGCUAUCUUGUUUUUUCCUAUUCCUCUUCUGUCAGGUACAAGAUAAAUCAUCUGUUUCUAAUUUCAGUCAAAAGAACAAACGUAGUUCCACUCAUGAAUUCUGUUAAAAAGCAAGGAAACCAAACAGUAUGAAAAAGCUAAAGUAGCUAAGCCUAAGACAGGCAAGGGGCCUCCUGGCUCAAGUGCAGCAGUUCUCUCUGCCUUCCUUCCCACUUGAAAUGCUCACAGCAGAUUCUUCUGCUGAUUUUCUAACUCCAUGCAACUCCUGAGUAAUUGCACUGCAGCCAAAACAAAUUACUCUAGGUUUAUGAGAGUGUAAGUCACAACUAAAUCCAGCCUAUGGUUUUUACUUAUGUAUUAUAAAAUAAAUAAUGGAAUCCAAUUAUACCAUAACUCAUCAAGCAGUUUUCCUACAAUGGUAGGUGGGCAUUUAUAGCAUCCCAUGCUAUGAACAGAAUAAACCUGCAUGCAUUUAGAUUUAGAUUUCUCAGCUUCAUCUGGCCACGAGCAAGGAUCUGAGUAGACCAAAACCAAAUGCCAAGCAGAGAUUUUCUGCUGGGUGCUGCUGAAAGGAGCUCAGCAUGAAGCUGAGCCUGGCAUUGUGCAGGAGCAGUGCUGACAGCUGAAAGGAGCUGUGGUCCUCCAGCAAAACAGUCAGAGAGGCAAAUUCAAAGUGUGUGACCUACAGGGGUUUGAAAUAAGGCCAAGAGGCAAAAAGCAAAACUGACUAACGAACAAAACAUCACAAAGCACGUUUGCAGAUCUUACUAGGCCCUGAGUAGUGAGGAAACAAGUGCCCUCGGAAAAGCUGUGGAGAGUCUUGGGUUUGGUUGGGUUUGGGGUAGUGCUGCCUUUGCCCAACAGUAUGCAGCUAUAGGGAGCGAGAAGAUCUGGCCUUCUAAAGGGAGCAGCGUUCAGCCUGGUGACUGUAGGAGAUGCUUCAAUUUCAAGGGUUGCAGCUUGAGAAAGACCAGUAGUCUUUUGUUUUAGGAAAUCUUUUACCUCCUUAGCAGAAGGCCGUUCACUGAUUUGACUUUAGGGCAUCAAGGAACAUAAGGUGACUGUAGAACAGCCCACACUCAGGAGGCGAGGUGCUAAGAUGUCAUUGAUAAAUGAACUGGACACCAUCUCAGGUAAGUAACCCCUCUGCAAGGAAGUAGGUACAGUUCUAGAUAGCCUUCUCACACCCACCCUGACUUCUCAGGCUAUUCUGCUGGCUGGACAACUGACAAAAUGAGCAGCAGCCUCAGGAUUAAGGGCGAUGUUGGAAUGUGAAUAAAGCACAAACUUUAAAGACUGUGAAUGAAAUGCAGGAGGGGGAGAAAGUAAAGAACUGGAAAAAGUCUGGUUUGUUUCUCACUUUUAUAGUCCUGGUUCCUGUACUGAUAGAAUACUGAUCUACAUAUUCCAAUAAUCUUCCUGGAAAAAAUAAGGAAAAGGAAAAAAAACAGCAUUGCAGAAAAUAUAGAGGACUCUUCAUACCUGAACUCUUUGAAAGGCAAGAAAAUCAGUCUCAUAUAUUCAUUUUAAAGACAUGAAGAAGAAAGUGCAAAUACAUGAAGGAGGACUUAACGACAAGCAAACGAUACAUGGACAUGCUCUGUGGAAAGCACGACAUCCAAAUGAAGAUCUCCAGCAAUUAUUUCCCUUGACUGAAGAGUCUCCUGAACAUUCGCUUUCCAGCAGUAACUGAGUGAAAUCAGUAGAAAUUCUGAGUGUGAGCAGCUGCUGCAGAAGGCAGUGGGAAUUAUGGAGAUUCAGCAUCCAUCGCCACUCAGAAAUAUGGUGGACAGAAUGGCUGCAAAGUCCCUAGCUAUGCCAGUUGUCUUCACUGAGAAUGAUGAAAGAAGUCCCCAAAAUAAGUAGCCACAUGACCAGAAGAGAAAAGAUUCUGGAAGGAAGAGCAAAGCCCUAGACCAUGAUAGAAGAGUCAUCUGGCUGCAAGGAAGUGCUGGUAUGUUUGCUGUACAUUGGAGAAAAUUAUUUUGUGUCUGCUAACCUUGUGCUGUUAGAAAAUUAUGCAACUUUCAUCAGCAAAAUGAUAAUCUGUGUUAAUUAUGCUAAAUACAUCAUCAUUUUUUCAUACAGUUUCCUUUUAAUUAAGCUUCAGAUUAAGUAUUAGAUUUAGAAGUAUUGGAAAUACCAAAACCAACAGAAAAUUGGAUUAAAGUAUUGGUUAUGCCUAAUAAAUAAGCCCAUAACAAAAGUGAUUCAUCAUUUUCAAAAAAGUGGGCUGAUCUCUGGCUGAAUCUCCCUGAAGAAUAAUUAAAAUGAAAAAAGCACUACUAUUAAAUGCAAAGACUGUUGUUAUCCACAUGACAUCUUUGAUGUGAUAUGAAUGGGACUUAUGGUCUACUGUGAAAAACCUCACGAAUUAUUUUACACCAAGAAAGCCAAAAGGCUGUGAUUUGUAGAAUAACAUGGAGAAGAAACAAAGAUUAUCAGUAGUACCUGGAGUAAGGA